rnacentral:rRNA from 1 species
UCCAGACUCCUACGGGAGGCAGCAGUGGGGAAUAUUGCACAAUGGGCGAAAGCCUGAUGCAGCAACGCCGCGUGAAGGAAGAAGGUCUUCGGAUCGUAAACUUCUGUCCUUGGGGAAGAUAAUGACGGUACCCUUGGAGGAAGCCCCGGCUAACUACGUGCCAGCAGCCGCGGUAAUACGUAGGGGGCAAGCGUUAUCCGGAUUUACUGGGUGUAAAGGGAGCGUAGACGGUGCAGCAAGUCUGGAGUGAAAGGCAGGGGCCCAACCCCUGGACUGCUCUGGAAACUGUUGUACUUGAGUGCAGGAGAGGUAAGUGGAAUUCCUAGUGUAGCGGUGAAAUGCGUAGAUAUUAGGAGGAACACCAGUGGCGAAGGCGGCUUACUGGACUGUAACUGACGUUGAGGCUCGAAAGCGUGGGGAGCAAACAGGAUUAGAUACCCGGGUAC